GGCUGGUUCCACCGCGUCGCUCUCUCUGCGUCACCUGGAGGAAGCGGAGCUGGCGGCCGGCUCCGGGCCCGUCGCGGGAGGCAGUUAUGGGCGCCGUCGCCCCGGGUGAGUACCGGCCACCCCCGCCGCCGCCACACUCCCGCCCUGCCUCGGCCUCAUCCUCAUCUACUGCGGGUGCUGUCGGCUCCAGGGCCGGCCCGGUGGGCGCCGAGCAGUCGGUAGGGCCGGCGGGCGACGGGAAGGGUGGCUGGGCGGGCGGCUGGCGUGCGAGCUCCGGGGAGCGCCCGGUGACACCGUGUGCGUUGUAAGCGCGGCUGGCGCUGCCACCUCCGGGUGACAGCCUACGUCGAAACUGGAGAGCCACGUUGUAGAGAGACCUGCUGACAGGGGCUUUCCGACAUUGCCUUGGUGGUGAUGAUGGCUUAGCGAAGGCAGAGGAGGACCGGGAGGGCAGAAAAGGAAAGCAGCCGGCUGGAUAGGAGGCUGACAGCAGGAGUUGUGAUUUCAGCCAAGGGAGGGAGCCGCGAGCGAGUAGUUGGACCAAGGUGGCAAUUCUCGUCUGAAAACUCCCCUGGACGCUGCGGGACCGAGCAUUACUGUUUUAUAGACGCCGUUCCCACGGCGCAGCAGUGACCUUCACAGCUGUCAGAAGUUUACUGUAGCUCCUUCAGUAGCAUCGACUGACACUUCAGUCAUGGGUUUGGUUGCCCUAAUUAAAAGUUUGUCUUUCAAGUUUCCCUCUGCUGUCUCAAGGGAAGCUGCAGUCCUUAAACCAGAUCUUCUAGCUCUGUCUCCACAACUGAAGGCUUAUGAUUUAAUUAAUGUCCGCAUGUCCGCCUUUUUCUUUUACACCUGAAGUUGUGCCUUCUCAGGUAAUAUUCUCUCUCAUCUCAUCUCAUCUCAUCUCUCUGUCCCUCUGUCCGUCCGUCCGUCCGUCCGUCCAUCUGACCACCUCGCUGUAGCUGGCCUGGAGCUUUGUAACUGCCUACUUUUGCGGUGCUGGGAUUAAAGGUGUGCGCCAUUAGCGGAGGAAGUUUUUCUUGAGGACCUACUAUGUACUCACAGUAUGCUAUAGGCAAGAUAGAAAUUCUGCCCAGAACCAGUUCUUUCUCCUAAGGCUUCGGAUUUCAGAGGAGGGUGGGGGUAGGGUGGGAGGGGGAGGGGGAGAGGGAGGAAAGGAGAGAGAAAUUGUUCAGAUUAUAGAUUUGAAAAGCAGUUUACUGUGGUAGAGAAACAGAUACAGGAUAGUACAUAUCUUUUUCCUCUCUGUCCCUCUCUGUGUGUUUGCUUUGUUCUUCGAGACAAGGUCUUCUUGUACAGCUUUGGCUGUCUUGGAACUCGCUCCAUAGACCAGGCUGGCCUUCAACGCGGCUAAUGCAGGUUUUCUUAAAUCUUCAUUAAAACCUGGUGGUGAUGUUGGCACACGCCUUUAAUCCCAGCAUUGUGGGAGGCAGAGGUAGUUGGAUCUCUGGAGGGUUAGGUCAGCCGGGACUAGAGUGGUUUUGUUUUUAAAUUUCUUUCUUUAGUGAGUAUCUUCAUUUAAAAGAUGAUCGUGAAAAUCAAACAUGAUGGUUUUGGAACUGUCUCGUUAAUUGUUUUUGUUGAUGAGUUAUGAGUCAGGAUUGCUAGUACGUUGGGGCCAGGUUGAAGGGGACAAGUUCUAGAGUAUAAACUUGGAUGUUUUGGCUGUUUAAUAGGUUCAUUAGAGUGAUAUACAAAUGACGCUAUCUGAAGAUGAAUCUUGCACUAAUGUGGCACAGUUUAGAGGAGGUUAGCUUGGAGAGAAGAAGUUGGAUACUCUUUUUUUUUUUUCCCCCUAAAAGAGGACCAUUUUAUCCAGCCCUCUGUACUCUGUGCUCCUCUUUGUUCAUUGCAAGGUCUUGGCUACCCCAGGCUGGCCGCAAGCUCAGUGUAUAGUAGUUGAGGAUGGCCUUGAGUUCUGGAUUCCCUCCGCUGAAGCUUCUGAGCGUAGGGCUGUGGGGUCCGCUCUACCUGGCUCUGUGUGUGCUGAGGAGUGAGCCAGGGCUUUGUGCACAGCAGGCAAGCACUCUACAUACUGAGCUAUCUGAAGAUGAAUCUUGCACUAAUGUGGCACAGUUUAGAGGAGGUUAGCUUGGAGAGAAGAAGAUGGAUACUCUUCCCCCCCCCCCAAAAGAGGACCAUUUUAUACAGCCCUCACCAUUUUUUUUUUGUUUUUGUUUUUGUUUUGUUUUGUUUUGUUUUUUUUCUAUAUCCCUGGCUGUCCUGGAACUCACUCUGUAGACCAGGCUGGCUUCGAACUCAGAAAUCCACCUGCUUCUGCCUCCCCAGUGCUGGGAUUAAAGGAGUGCGCCACCACGCCCGGCUACCAUUUUUUCUUUUUUAAACAAUGUUUUAAAUGAUCCUUGGUAAAGGAAGGGUUCCACACUGGCUUAGUACAGUGUUUCCCUAGCAUUUCAUCCAGUAUAUACAAGGUCUUGAUUUAGUAUCCAGCAUUGAGGAGGACAAAAGGAUGAAUGAAAAUGUAAAAAGAUAAUUGCUGCCCUUGGCUCGUGGUUUUAUAGAGACGUCCUGCCUAUCCUCAGCACCACCCCACCAAGAGCUGAAGGGUUACUUGCAAGACUUUAUGCCAGAAAGAUGACAACAAUUAAGAUUAGAAUUAAUCUUAAUUUUUAAGAUUAAUUAGAUUGACUACACUGGAGUGUAGUUUAAUGGUAGAGCACCUGUAAAAACAAGAAUUAAGUGAAGUAUUUCCUCCAGAUACUAUUUUCCAUUUGCACAAACAUUUUUUUUGGGGGGGGGGGGGACAGGGUUUCUCUGUCAAGUUACUCUGAAGCAUGUAAAAUAGAGAUUCUCAAAAUAAAUGUUUAAAGAUUAGACUUGUAAGUACUUGUAAUUCUCUUGAUACUUUUAAAUUUUCAAAAUUCAACCAAACAGGCAAAGAUUUAAUGUGUAGUUAGAUUAGCCAUAGACUACCAAAUGGGGGUUUGUGGGUGACAUAGGCAAGUCGAUUCUUUGUUCAUAUCUAGAAGGCAGACUAGUAAAGAGAAUUGUGUACUUUUGUCUGUCUAUUUUUAAAAUUUCUUGCAAACCUUUAAACUUUGCUAGCUGAUGGAUUGUAGAAUGAUAUCUAAUUUUGUGGUGAAGAGUGGAAUGCCUGUUAGUGUUGGGCACAGAAGCAUCAGCAGGAAUGGAAGAAGGUGGGGGACCUUGACUUUUACACUUGUAGCCAACAUCCUAACUUUGUCACUUCCUGACUGUUUGAAAACAGGAUGAAACUGUCUAUUCUGCGUACUUAAGAGUUCGUAUUAGAAGAGUGAUGGUGUAUCCCAGGGGUACUUUUGAGUUAUAAAGUAUUUUUUUUUGUUUUGUUUUUUAUUUUUUGUUUUCUGUUUUCUGUUUUUUGAGACAGGGUUUCUCCGUGUAGCCCUGGCUGUCCUGGAACUCACUUUGUAGACCAGGCUGGCCUUGAACUCAGAAAUCUGCCUGCCUCUGCCUCCCAAGUGCUGGGAUUAAAGGUGUGCGCCACCACCGCCAGGCUACCGAGUUAUAAAGUAUUGACUGUAGCUUACUUGAACUUUUAUCUUCUAAACUGUAGAAGUCAUUUUUUCUUUCAUCCUUUGUCUUUCUGGUUUUGUCAAGCUGGGUUUGUCUUGUUUUCUAGAUUGUAACUUUGUGUCAGCGUGCAGUCCAUAAAGUGCCAGCAUGGGGAAGAAACGGACCAAGGGGAGAAGUGCUCCAGACACGGUGGCCUCAGAGUCUGCAGGUAUGGUUCCUCAGUUGUUCUUAAAGCCUGGUUCUAUGUCU
rnacentral:lncRNA from 1 species